rnacentral:rRNA from 1 species
ACCAGGAUUCUCCUAGUAACGGCGAGUGAACGGAGAUUAGCCCAUCACCGAAGCCUGCGUGUGUUUGCAUGCUAGGCAAUGUGGUGUUAAGGUGUGUACCUGGGACCGUGUCCCUACCCGAAGUCUAAAUCCGAUUGUGGCUUUGGAUUCAUUCCAUAGCGGGUGAAAGUCCCGUGCGGGUAGGAUUAUUGCAAAUCAACACGGUCCUCAGAUGUGCAUACUUUCGAGUCGGAUUGCUUGAGAAUGCAGUCCAAAGUGGGUGGUAAACUCCAUCCAAGGCUAAAUACUGGCACGAGUCCGAUAGUAGACAAGUACCGUGAGGGAAAGUUGAAAAGUACUCUGAAGAGAGAGUAAAUAGUACGUGAAGCCGAUUGCAGGGAAGCUGGUGGAGUCAAGCUUCGUGCUUGGGGGAUUGAUGCUGAGAGCAGGUGUGUGAAUUGAAUGUGAGAUUGGUCGACUUGGAAUAAGUUGGGCGUGUUCUGAAUGCGCUUCAAGUCAUUCCGGGUAGAGUGUUUUGUGCCAGUUUCGCUUUUCUACUCUCAGUGUUGUAUUCCUCGCUGCACAGGCCACAGUCAAUAGGUGCAUGCAGUAUGAUGGCCUAACUGGUGCUUUGGUGGGUGCAAACCUUCCGGGCGCAGGAUGGCAGGUGCUGUCUUCAGACCUCGUGUCUGUUGAUAGUUGUUGUGGUUUUGACCGGCUGGACGUCAUACUGUGUUGUGCUUAUUGUCUUUAUAUGGCGCAGCUUCCAAGGAAGUUGUGUUGUCAAGAACUGUGGCUCUGAGGUAGACUUUCCACCGGACCC